GUGGCGGGGCCGGGAGGGUGAGCGGCGGGGCGGGCUCCGUCCCCUCCGCCCACAGAGCGGGGCCGCGGCCGGGGGACUGCGGCCACAGCACGGAGCGUGAGAGAGGUGCUGGACGGGCGCUGCACGAACAACUUAUUGACCUGCUGUGAUGUAACUGCACCGAUGGACGAGGGAAGAGCACUGAUAUUGUCUGUCUGGACUUCAGUAAGGCUUUUGGUACAAUCCUCCAUAAUAUCCUUCUCUCCACAUUGGAAAGGUGUGGAUUUGAUGGGUGGUUGUUCGAUGGACAAGGAAGUGGUUGCAAGACUGUGCCCAGAGAUUGGUGGUCAAUGGCACAACGGCCAGAUGGAGGUCAGUGACAAGUGGUGUCCCUCAGGGGUCUGUACUGGGUGUGAUGCACCCAAACAUCUUCAUCAGUGACAUUGACAGGGGGAUCGAGCGCACCCUUGGCUAGUUUGCUGAGGACACCGAGCUGUGGGGUGCACAUGGCGCGCCUGAGAGACAGGACACUGUCCAGGCAGACCCAGACAGGCUUAGCAGAGGGCCUUGGAAGACCUCUUGAAGUUUAACAAAGCCAAAUGCAAGGUCUUGCUCCUGGGUCCUGGCAACCUCGACUACAAACUGAGGGAUGUAAGAACGGAGCACAGCUCUGAUGAAAAGGACUUCCAGCUACUGGUGGAUGGAAACUGGAGAUGAGCCAGCAAUGUGCUGUCACAGCCAGAAAGUCAACUGUGUCCUGGGCUGCAUCAAAAGAAGCAUGGACAGCAGGGCAAAGAAGGUGAUCCUGCACCUCUGCUCUGCGCUGGUGAGGCCUCACCUGGAGUACUGCAUACAGAUGUGGAGUCCUCAGUGCAGGAGAGACAUGGGCUUGUUGGAGUGUGUCCAGAAGGGCCGCAAAAGUGAUCCAAGAGAUGGAACACCUCUCCUACAAAGAUGGGCUAAGAGAGCUGGGGCUGUUCAGCAUUCACAAGAGAAGGCUCCAAGGUAUAUCCAACACACAUCCCACUUGCUGAAUGAGGCCCAGCCUGGCCCAUCCUGCAGCUCUUCCCUUUCCUGCACCAUCAUGGUGGCAGCUCUGCCCUGCUAAGUGGCCCAGCCUUCAUCAUUCAACAGCAACCAAACUUCAGCGAGCAGUUGGAACAAUCUGGGCUGAAAAUGGGCCAUGGGGAGGACAAAGUGCAGUGGUAACUCAGGGUGACAGAGAAUUGAGCAGAUGGAUCCUGCACACAUCCUGUAUGCAGAAUUUGAGGGAAUUCUUUCAUAUAAGGCACAGAAGAGCUUUGACCCUCUGUAAGACAACAGGUUACGCAUCAGAGAAGUUGGUAUAACGUGACCCCAACACAGCACUGUCUCUUCCAGGAUGGCACAUUUAGCCUAGGGUGAAUCAGGACUAAAUCUGCCCUGCUUUCAGAUGUGCAGCUCUCAACAUGCUGCCGUGGACGUGCUCAGCAUGCUAAUGCCUUGACAGCUGUGUGGGUGUGAUUCAUUCCGUGUUUUGCCUUUGGCUGUCCGGCCUCUGGGGUCAGCUCGGUGCUCAGCAGGAGGUAAGUGAUGGGCGCAGGUGGCCAGAGGCGGGGAGGGAACAAGGACUGUCCUACCUCCACAGCAGCAAGCUGUUAAUUCUGCUUCAGUCCUGGCAGGAGCCCAACACCCCCUUAAUUUUAGAUGGAAAAUCGAUCUCCUCCAUCUUUUACUGCAGUGUAGCUAAUCCCCAAGGACUUGUAAGUGGAAGGAAAGUAUACCUGCCGGUACUCACCAGUUUCAUGAAUGGGUUUGUACUACUUCAUGGCUUACUCGAAUCACUGCAGAAUUAAAUGGAAAAUACCUGAAAUAUCCGAUCCAUUAAUUAUGGAAUCUCUCUCUUAAUUUGCCUGUCUGCAACAAAUAACCCAGGGGUGAUGUUAGAAAGAAUGUAAGGGAGAAUGUUAGAGAACUUUCAGUAUCAAGCAGAGAUGUGAAAUCAAAUGUAAUCUAAGCAAACUAGGGACUAGUUACUGUAAUAAGUACUCUGCUGUAUCAACUAGAUCUACUGGUGCUCUAUUCUGAAUGUCAGAUGUCCUUCUAGUAACAGGAAUAGAUUCUUGCUUAAUUUUUUUUUUUAUUAUUAUUUAUAAGUAGUACGUUCGAAUGAAAAUUGUAAAAGGAGAUUUAGACAUCUUGUGCUCUGCUAAGUGAUUGUUUAGGCGUGGUUCUUUUUGCAAUUACAGACACUUGUGAACAGCUACCAAAUGGGCUGACAUAGAAAAGGUGUAGAGAGAUGGAUGGCCAAGGUUAUCAGCAGUGCUGUUAUUUCUGCACUAAUUCAGUGCUUCUGAGACAGAACACUUCAGAAUGAAAAUGAGACCACCAAACAAGAUGUGAUAAAAAGAAGUCAUGAAUGGCAGCGAGAGUUUGGCUGAAAAUAAUUAAUUGUUCACUGCCUCUUCUGGUAAGAAAAUGAGGGAGUGUUGCCUUAAAUGAGCAGGUAACUGGCUUAAAGCAAACUGAUGGAGACGCUUCAUAUCAUGUGUGGUUAAAGCUGGGAAACAUUUCACCACAGAACAUGCUCAGUGGUACAGAUGUACAUGAUGUUAUAAACUGUCUGAACAAAUUCGCAGUGGAAAAAACCCAUCACAGCCUAUUAAAUUCAGGGGCUAUCUUUGGCUUAAAAGAAACAAUAAUGCCAAGAUUUCUGGCUGCUACAAAAUAUUUCUACACAUUUUUAUUGUCCUUUAUUCUUCCCUAAACAUUUGAUGUUGGCUACUGUUGAAGGCUUAUUUGGUGUUAGAUGGGUCAUCUAACUUGAAACAAAUUCUGUUUGUAUUCUUGGGAGAUUUUAAUCAAAUUUUACAGGAAUUAAAGGCCUUUAUGAGCCUUACAAGAAAUGAAUGUCACAAAUCACAGCAGAAGCACUUGCCGUGCAGGAAUUAUAGAUCAAAGAAAAAGCAAGAAGAAGGAAAGAAGGAAAAAAAAAAAAAAAAGUGGAACGUGAUAGGGGUGGAUGGUAGGGCCGUCUCCAAGGGUGAGAAACUCCUUUCCAACAGUCGGUAUGGUAGGAAGCCCCACAUUUUCCUUCAGCCUUCUUCAGCUUUUCAGGUCUGAUGCAUUGCCUUUAUGCAUGGCCAGACAGACCUGGCUGUAAUUGCAGAACCUUCAGAUCUCUUAAUGGUGGCAUUACUCUCACCCAGAACUACACAGCUCUAAACCAGCAUUGGAAGAGUGGGAUGAAUAAUGCAGGAAAAAAAUAAAUAA